CAGCCGCCGCGGUAAUACAGAGGGUGCGAGCGUUAAUCGGAUUUACUGGGCGUAAAGCGUGCGUAGGCGGCUUCUUAAGUCGGAUGUGAAAUCCCUGAGCUUAACUUAGGAAUUGCAUUCGAUACUGGGAAGCUAGAGUAUGGGAGAGGAUGGUAGAAUUCCAGGUGUAGCGGUGAAAUGCGUAGAGAUCUGGAGGAAUACCGAUGGCGAAGGCAGCCAUCUGGCCUAAUACUGACGCUGAGGUACGAAAGCAUGGGGAGCAAACAAGAUUAGAUACCCCGGUAGUCCCUGUCUCUUAUAC
rnacentral:rRNA from 1 species